rnacentral:lncRNA from 1 species
CGAUCUUCAACUGUAGCACCAAUCGGCCGCUUCCCAAUAGUGACUUCUUAUCUUGCUGCAUUAGCCAAUCCUUUCCUUCUUGACGCCGAUUCUAUACGUGUCAAAACCUGGCGUCAACACUUACCAAUGUCACCUCUUCGUUUGCGGUUUCCCUACUCCCUUUGCGUGUCUCCAUGCGUGUUCCCGUACACGUGGAGGGUAUCGAUUUGUUCCUUCCAAGAGCUGGGCCCUCCUUUUCCC